GCGGCGGCGGCGGAGGGGCCGGGAACGCGUGGCUUGGCCGGGCUGAGGAAACCGCAACCCUUCCAGGCUCUCCUACAGCGCCUCCAGGGACUUAAAGAUGCCUCAGCCACGUGAUUACCCUGAUCUGCCUGCUGGGAGGUGAGCAAAGGUCUGAGAGGGACUAGAUCUCAGCAGAGACAGCAGUUCCUGAGCACCCACCCCCGAGCACUUCCAGAAAUGCAAUGCAACAUGGACCAGCGUGUGAGCAUUUGCUCCUCCUCAGGGGCAGCCAUGAGAUACAGAAACAGUUUCAAGACAUGGAUACUUGCUACCCUGCCUGCCAUUCUCCCUCUUCCCCUCAGAUCUAUGGUGUGUUCAACUGUAAGCAAAUUAUGGGUUCUGGCGACAUAAAUGCAACAGCACAGAAAUUCUGAUUACUUCAAACAACAUUCCUCCCCAGGCUCUAGCAUCAGUAAUGAAAUGUUCACACACACUUGGCAGUUUUUCAAUUUAUGGUUCCUCCCAUUGUCUUGAGAGGUCAGGCUGUUACAAAGUGUCUCUAGACAAUACUCAUUCAACAGCUAAGAGGCAAGCCACAACUGCUUUUUGGAGGAGCCUUGUAAAAACCAAAGUUGUCCAACUCAGAAUUUGAAGAUGCUACCAAAUAAAAGGGACCUGUGUUGAGCAAGUAAACUUUUUUAUACUUAAAAAAAAAUAAAAACAAACAACAACAACAA